GACGAACGCUGGCGGCGUGCUUAACACAUGCAAGUCGAACGGAAAGGCCCUGCUCUUGUGGGUUUCUCGAUUGGCGAACGGGUGAGUAACACGUGAGUAACCUCCCCUUGACUUUCUGAUAUCUUCAGGGAACUGCGGCUAUUACCGGAUAGAAUCUCCUGCUGCAUGUUGGGGGUUGGAAAGUUUCGGCGGUUGUGGCUGGACUCGCGGCUUAUCAGCUUCUUGGUGUGGUAGUGGCUUUCCAAGGGUUUGACGGCUAGCCGGCCUGAGAGGGUGAACGGCGACAUGGGGACUGAGAGACGGCCCAGACUCCUACGGGAGGCAGUAGUGGGAAAUAUUGCACAAUGGGGGGAAGCCUGAUGCAGAAACGCUGCGUGCGGGAUGACGGCUUUCGGGUUGUGAACCGAUUUCGACGGUGACGAAGAGAGAGUGACGGUAAUGGGUAAAGAAGCACCGGCUAACUACGUG
rnacentral:rRNA from 1 species